AUGAAGCAGAGUGCUCGGCUACCUUCAUAUCGUAGUAAGUCUGAAUGCCAAGCAAAAUUAUGUGUGGUUCCAUUAAGUUUCUUGGAAGACACCUGUCUCAGAUAUCUGAAGAUGCCUCAGUGGGACUGGGUACAAGAGGGAACGACAAGGGCUACCCAGCUCAAACGUGGACUUUAUUGGACACUUUUCUGUUCUACAAAUUGUGGAUGACCUUGGAUUCUGGAUGGGAAACCCCUAACAAUCACUGGUCUUCUGAGGAAAAUUGUGAAGGCUUAUUUAUGCUUCUAAAACAAAAAAAAAUUCAAUUGUAUUUUGGAAUAAUCAUUUUACAAUUACCCUUGGGAAAUUUCAAGAUACUGAAGUUAUACUCUUUGUUGUUUUCUCACAUAUUAGCCUUCUUUUACUUUAUCAGCUUCAUAGUUAUCCCAUCAUUAUUCAUAAUUUUUCCAAUAAUAUGUAAACCAUAAUAAUAACCAAACAACAAAGUGAUAAAAGUGUCUAGAAAUGUUAGCAUUAGAUAAUAUUAUAAAUCAAAUCAAUAUAAUAGAUAUUUAUAAAACAUUUCACCCAAACCCAAAAGAAUACACCUUCUAAGCAGCUCGUCAAAAUUUCUCCAAAACUGACCACAUACCAGCAGAAAAAGUAUGUCUCAAGAUAUACAAGAAAAUUGAAAUAACGCUAUGUACCCUAUCUGACUACUGUGGAUUAAAACUAGAUAUCAGAAACAACAGAAAUCUCAGAAACUCCUCAAACUGCACAACUAACUGCUGAAUGAAAAAUGGAUCAAGACAGGUAGUAUAAAAAAUUUACAAUUUUUACUAUUUAAAAAUUUACAUUUAUUUUUAAUAAUGUAUUUUUCAUAUAAUAUAUUCUAAUUAUGGUGUGCUCUUCCCAAACUACUUCAAGAUCCUUCCAAAUCCCCAGUGAAAAUGAAAACACUGAAUACCCAAAUCUGUGGUACACAAUGAAGGUUGUUCCAAUAGGCAAAUUCAUAACACUAAGUGGCUACAUUAUAAAAGCAGAGAUAUCUUCCACUAAUAAAUUAAGAGCAUAUUUAAAAGUUCUAGAUCAAAAAUAAAAAAACACAUCCAAAGGGAGUUGAUAGUAAUAAACAAAGACAUGUCAAAGCUGAAAUCAAUAUAAUAACAAACACCACAAAGAUAAAUGAAAGGAAGAUUUAUUUUUUGAUAAUGAUCAAUAAAAUUGAUAAAAACAAAACUUAGCAAAACUAACUAAAAGAGACAGAGAAAAGAUUCAAAAUAACAAAAUUAGAGAGCAAACGAAAAACAUCAGGACAGACACUGAAGAAAUCCAGAGAAUCAUCAGGACGCAAUUUAGAAAUCUGUAUGUAUUUCACUAAACUAGAAAACCUAAAAAAAAAUGGAUAAAUUUCUUGGUAUAUGCGAUCUACUAAUGUUAAGUCAAGAUCACAUAAGCAAUUUAAACAUAUGUAUAACCCUCAGUGCAAUAGAAACAGUAUUUAAAAUUUAUUCAACAAGAAAAAGUCCAAGAAUUAAGCACGGAAUUCUACUAGAUCUUCAAAGUUGUUUAAUACUUCUCAAAUUAUGCUUUAAACAUAAACACAGAAGAAACAUCACCUAAUUCUUUUUUAUGAGGCCAAAUUUACCCUGAUAUCAAACUAUACAGAGACUCAACAGACAAAAUUAAAGACCAAUUUCUCUUAUGAACAAAGAGGCAAAAUUUCUCAAUAAAUUAAUUGCAACCAAACAUAAGAACACAUCAGAAAAAAGCAUAUGUAAAUCGACAUAUGUAAAACAAUAAAUAUAACCCAAUAUAUAGAAAAAUUGAAAGAUUAAAAGCACAUUAAAUGCAGAAAAUGCCUUUGAAAAAAUCCAGUAUUUCUUCAUGAUAAAAAUUUUGGAUAGAUUGGGAAUAUGGGGGCUAUAUAUAAACAUGAUAUAAGAGAUUUUUAGGAAGGCUACUGUUAAAAUAAAUGUAAAUGAAGAAAACUCAAAUCAUUUCCACUAAAAUUAGAAUAAGACAAGAUUGCCCAUUUUUUCAUAUCUAGUUAAUAUUAGUACUUGAAGUCUUAGCUAGAGCAAUAAGAGACUGAAGAGACUGAAAGUAGUAAGUUAAGGUAUAUUUACUUGGAGAUGAUAUGUUUGUAUAAAUAAAUGACCCUAAAGACUCUAAAAAAAAAAA